AUGAACGCUGGCGGCGUGCCUAAUACAUGCCAGUCGCGCGAACAGACGAGGAGCUUGCUCCUCUGACGUUAGCGGCGGACGGGUGAGUAACACGUGGAUAACCUACCUAUAAGACUGGGAUAACUUCGGGAAACCGGAGCUAAUACCGGAUAAUAUAUUGAACCGCAUGGUUCAAUAGUGAAAGACGGUUUUGCUGUCACUUAUAGAUGGAUCCGCGCCGCAUUAGCUAGUUGGUAAGGUAACGGCUUACCAAGGCAACGAUGCGUAGCCGACCUGAGAGGGUGAUCGGCCACACUGGAACUGAGACACGGUCCAGACUCCUACGGGAGGCAGCAGUAGGGAAUCUUCCGCAAAGGGCGAAAGCCUGACGGAGCAACGCCGCGUGAGUGAUGAAGGUCUUCGGAUCGUAAAACUCUGUUAUUAGGGAAGAACAAAUGUGUAAGUAACUAUGCACGUCUUGACGGUACCUAAUCAGAAAGCCACGGCUAACCACGUG
rnacentral:rRNA from 1 species